rnacentral:lncRNA from 1 species
GGGAGCUUCACGUUGCCGAGUGGAAGAACCAUGACCUCCACUUGCUUCCAAGGUGCUAGGGAAGUUUCAGGGUACGCUGGUUCCCCUCUCCAGCUGGAGGCCAAGUUUCUGGGGACUGCAGACUUUUCUACUCUGUGAUCAAUUCAAUGCCCGAUGCUUCUGUUUCAUUCCCGACCCUUUCUACUAUGCAUUUUCCUUUUAUCAGGUGUAUAAAGUUAAAUACUGUGUAUUUAUCACUAAAAAGUACAUGAACUUAAGAGAAAACUAAGCCUUUCGUGUUUUUCCACAGGUGUUUAAGCUUCUCUGUACAGUUGAAAUAAACAGACAGCAAAAUGGUGCCAAGCCUGGGCCUCUUCGGGAGAAACAUGGAUUCUGUGCACACAGUCUUCAAC